CAAGCUUACGCUGGAUAUGUAGGCACCCAGAGACGAGGAAGGGCGUAGUAAGCGACGAAAUGCUUCGGGGAGUUGAAAAUAAGCGUAGAUCCGGAGAUUCCCGAAAUAGGUCAACCUUUCAAACUGCUGCCGGCAGGCAAGAGACAACCUGGCGAACUGAAACAUCUUAGUAACCAGAGGAAAAGAAAGCAAAAGCGAUUCCCGUAGUAGCGGCGAGCGAAAUGGGAGCAGCCUAAACCGUGAAAACGGGGUUGUGGGAGAGCAAUACAAGCGUCGUGCUGCUAGGCGAAGCGGUGGAGUGCUGCACCCUAGAUGGAGAGAGUCCAGUAGCC